rnacentral:misc_RNA from 1 species
GUAAGUAAAAGUCGUAACAAGGUCUCCGUUGGUGAACCAGCGGAGGGAUCAUUACAGGACUCGCAAGACUCCUUCACCCUGUGAACCUCACUACAAGCACGUUGCUUCGGCGGGUGUCCCGGCGGGGGUUUUCCCUCGCCGGGGCGCACAGCCCGCCGGCAGCCUACUAUACUCUGUCUCUUUGCGUUGGCAUCUCGAGAAAAAACAAACAAGUUAAAACUUUCAACAACGGAUCUCUUGGUUCUG